rnacentral:rRNA from 1 species
AUUGAACGCUGGCGGCGUGCCUAACACAUGCAAGUCGAGCGGUAACAGGUGUAGCAAUACAUGCUGACGAGCGGCGAACGGGUGAGUAAUGCUUCGGAAUCUACCCAAUGGUGGGGAAUAACCAGCCGAAAGGUUGGCUAAUACCGCAUACGUCCCACGGGAGAAAGCAGGGGAUCGCAAGACCUUGCGCCAAUGGAUGAGCCGAAGUCGGAUUAGCUAGUUGGAGGGUAACGGCCUACCAAGGCGACGAUCCGUAGCUGGUCUGAGAGGACGACCAGCCACACUGGGACUGAGACACGGCCAGACUCCUACGGGAGGCAGCAGUGGGGAAUAUUGGACAAU